rnacentral:misc_RNA from 1 species
GAUGAAGAACGCAGUGAAAUGCGAUAAGUAAUGUGAAUUGUAGAAUUCAGUGAAUCAUCGAAUCUUUGAACGCACAUUGCGCCCGCCAGCACUCUGGCGGGCAUGCCUGUUCGAGCGUCAUUUCAACCAUCAAGCCCCCAGGGGCUUGUGCUGGGGCCCUGCGGCUGCCCGCAGGCCCUGAAAACCAGUGGCGGGCUCGCUAGUCACACCGAGCGCAGUAGCACAUCUCGCUCAGGGCGUGCGGCGGGCUCCUGCCGUGAAACCCCCCACUGUAACCCCAAAGGUUGACCUCGGAUCAGGUAGGAAUACCCGCUGAACUUAAGCAUAUCAAUAAGCGGAGGA